GAUAAGGCAAGUUUGUCCACGUUUGAUAUACGAUUGAAAGGGGAUAUGAAUUUCCUCCCAGGUUUUAUCACUCAAUACUUUACAUGAAUCACAGCCCGCGAUUGACCCGCUUCAUUUAAUUUAUGGGUUGUUUAUUCUCCUAAGAAGUAAAAGUACUUGGCUCAGUUUCUCUCUAACUUCUUAGAUCUUUUACCUUCCUCUAAAUUGUUUCGGCUAGCUCCCUCUUUUUAUCGUCAGGGGCUCCGGUGAUAAAUUUAAAAAGAAUUUUCCCCACAGUUUCAUUUACUUGUAAAACAAUUUCCCUUAACUGGCUGGCAGAAAAGAAAAACAAGUUGGUACACAAAAACAGAAAAUGCAGACAAUAACUUUCGCAUUUUUUGCUUGCUCCAUGCUGUUUGCUUGCUCGUUGACACAGGAAGAUGACAAAACUCAAAAACGAUACCUAGCGAAGAGCUUCAUACAUCCGCAUCAAGCUAAGAGAUCAUUCUUCAAAAAAGACGCAGUGAAUUCCGUGAAUAAUGACGAUAAACAAGGUGUCCUCGCCCGACAAGCAUUAAACUCCCCAGAAAAUUAUGAUAAGCGAGGUUUCUUCGCCGAUCAAGCAGUUGGGAAACGAGGGUUCUUCGCCGACCAAGCAGUUGGCAAACGAGGUUUCUUCGCCGAUCAAGCUGUGGGAAAACGAGGUUUCUUCGCCGAUCAAGCUGUGGGAAAACGAGGUUUCUUCGCCGAUCAAGCUGUGGGAAAACGCGGGUUUUUUACAGACCAGGCGACAGGAAAAAGGGGAUAUUUCACCGAUCAAGCUACAGCUGGCAAAAGAGGAUUCUUCCUGGAUCAGUCGACCGGAAAAUAAAAGGAACUCUUAGGAAAAUGGGCUGCUAUUUAAUUUGACUAUUAAUUUAAUCAAGGCUUGUUUAACAAGUUAUCAUGGUUCGACAAAUAUACUCAUUGAA